rnacentral:rRNA from 1 species
GACCAUGGCUCAGGAUGAACGCUGGCGGCGUGCUUAACACAUGCAAGUCGAACGAAGCACUUUAUUACGAUUUCUUCGGAAUGACGAUUUAGUGACUGAGUGGCGGACGGGUGAGUAACGCGUGGGUAACCUGCCUUAUACAGGGGGAUAACAGUUAGAAAUGACUGCUAAUACCGCAUAAGCGCACAGGAUUGCAUGAUCUGGUGUGAAAAACUCCGGUGGUAUAAGAUGGACCCGCGU